rnacentral:rRNA from 1 species
AGAGUUGAUCAUGGCUCAGACGAACGCUGCGGCGUGCCUAACACAUGCAAGUCGAACGGGGUUAUUUCUUCGGAGAUAACUUAGUGGCGAACGGGUGAGUAACACGUGAGAAACCUGCCUUUCAGUGGGGGACAACAGUUGGAAACGACUGCUAAUACCGCAUAAUGUUAUCGAGCGGCAUCGCUUGAUAACCAAAGCUUAAUGUGCUGAAAGAUGGUCUCGCGUCUGAUUAGCUAGUUGGUGAGGUAACGGCUCACCAAGGCGACGAUCAGUAGCCGGUCUGAGAGGAUGAACGGCCACAUUGGGACUGAGAUACGGCCCAGACUCCUACGGGAGGCAGCAGUGGGGAAUAUUGGGCAAUGGGGGAAACCCUGACCCAGCAACGCCGCGUGAAGGAAGAAGGCCUUCGGGUUGUAAACUUCUUUUACCAGGGACGAACAAAUGACGGUACCUGGAGAAAAAGCAACGGCUAACUACGUGCCAGCAGCCGCGGUAAUACGUAGGUUGCAAGCGUUGUCCGGAUUUACUGGGUGUAAAGGGCGUGUAGGCGGAGAUGCAAGUCAGGAGUGAAAUCCCGGGGCUCAACCCCGGAACUGCUUUUGAAACUGUAUCCCUUGAGUGUCGGAGAGGCAAGCGGAAUUCCUAGUGUAGCGGUGAAAUGCGUAGAUAUUAGGAGGAACACCAGUGGCGAAGGCGGCUUGCUGGACGAUAACUGACGCUGAGGCGCGAAAGCGUGGGGUGCUAACAGGAUUAGAUACCCUGGUAGUCCACGCUGUAAACGCCCUACUAGGUGUGGGAGGACUGACCCCUUCCGUGCCGCAGUUAACACAAUAAGUAUCCACCUGG